AUCGAACGCUGGCGGCAGGCCUAACACAUGCAAGUCGAACGAGUGGCGGACGGGUGAGUAAUGUCUGGGAAACUGCCCGAUGGAGGGGGAUAACUACUGGAAACGGUAGCUAAUACCGCAUACCAUCGGAUGUACCCAGAUGGGAUUAGCUAGUAGGUGGGGUAAAGGCUCACCUAGGCGACGAUCCCUAGCUGGUCUGAGAGGAUGACCAGCCACACUGGAACUGAGACACGGUCCAGACUCCUACGGGAGGCAGCAGUGGGGAAUAUUAGACAAUGGGCGAAAGCCUGAGGGAGCCAUGCCGCGUGUAUGAAGAAGGCCUUCGGGUUGUAAAGUACUGUCAGCGGGGAGGCGUUACCCGACGAGGAAGCACCGGCUAACUCCGUGCCAGCCGCCGCGGUAAUAC
rnacentral:rRNA from 1 species